UACGUAGGGGGCAAGCGUUGUCCGGAAUCAUUGGGCGUAAAGCGCGUGUAGGCGGCCCGGUAAGUCCGCUGUGAAAGUCGGGGGCUCAACCCUCGAAUGCCGGUGGAUACUGUCGGGCUAGAGUGCGGAAGAGGCGAGUGGAAUUCCUGGUGUAGCGGUGAAAUGCGCAGAUAUCGGGAGGAACACCAAUUGCGAAGGCAGCUUGCUGGGACGGUACUGACGCUG
rnacentral:rRNA from 1 species